GAAAGAAAGGAAAAAAAUAAAAUAAAAAUGUUGAUUGUAUUCAUUAGCUUUGGAAUAUAAUAUCGACGAUUUAUACCUUGUCGUUGAUUUGCCUCGAGCAUUCGACAGAUGAGCGUAAUAUGUUGUUAUGAAAAACUACGACAAGCGCCAAUUUAUAAUGGUACUAAAUAAACCCAAAGUGCCUCUGGUAGAUUUUUGGGCAUGUAAGCUUGAGUAAUAAGAAUAAUAAUAAUAAGAAUAAGGAUAAUUAAAAACGAAACGGAGAAAAGGAAGGAAGCGAAAAAGAAGAAAAAAAAGAAAACAAACUAGAAACGUUUAUUAACGAUAACGUGACACAAUUUACUAACAAAAUGAUAAUAAAGACCAUAUAUAGAUAGAUAGAUAGAUAGAUAGGUGAUAGGCUGUAGUCUGUGUCUGUGUCAGUGUCUGUCUGUCUGUAUCCCAUCCUGAGUGUCCUACCUGUCCUCCCUUUGAAUGUUACAUAUUAAUGAAAUAAGAAUAAGUGAGAAGUAAGGCAAAGCAUAAUGAAACCGCAGAAUGAGAAAGAAGAUCAUAAGAAUAGGUACCGUACAAGCAGUUGAAAUAUAAUGAACACCAGAUCGAGAAGGACAUCCUUGAGAAGGACAAAAUAAAAAUUGAACAAGCAAAGAGGAAAAAAAAAAAAAAAAAAAAAAAAAAUGGCCUCCGUAAAAUUUUUAACAAUUAUAAACGAUUCUUCAUUAAUCAUUGAAAUUGAAAUUAUUAUCACUCUACGAAGAUGAAACCGCCACGUUACCCUGUCGUAAAUGCAUACAA